rnacentral:lncRNA from 1 species
UAUACCUAGAAGUGCUGGUUUGGUGUAGGCACACGGAGGGCUCUGCUGCUAGGAGACAGAAACAGCUCACAGAUCCAGCAGCAGGUACAGGAAGAGCCUGGGCAGAGACUGACAUGCCUUCAUCCAUUUGACUCAUUUGAUUCAUUUGACUCAGUGGGUCAAAGUGGUUGAAGAUUUCUCAAUCACCAAGACAGUGAUCAUACGGUUAGAGGAGCCCCGGGGUGGCUUCAGUGCAGUGAGAAGGAAGUUGUUCAUACAUCACCAUGAGGCAUCCGGGCCACGCAAGAAAGAGCAAACAGGAUGUCCUUCUCCUAAGCUAACGCUUUAAUGAUGCCACGCUAAGACAGAUACGUAUGGGAACGGAGUGAGGGUGAAGCUCAUUAACUCAGAUUACUUUUUGCUCUGUGGUGAAUUAUUGAACCACGAGGGCAUCUUUGGGUCUAAGAUUUCAUCUGGGGUCUGAGACACUCCAUCUGGAACUAUUCUAAGGAAAUGGGAUCUACUAACACAGGCCUGCUAUCCACCUACUCAGGAGACUGAGACAGGAGGAUCCCCAAAUUUAAGACUAGCCUGGGCUAAUGAGUGAAUUCAAAAUCAGUAUGGACAAAUUUCAUGCGUCUCUGUUUCAAAAUUAAAAAGAAAAAGAGGGCCAGGGUUAUAGCUCAGCAGUAGAGUGCUUGUCUGGAAUCCCCUAGUGAGGAGCUGGGAGUGUGGCUCAGUGGUAGAGCCCCUGCCUAGAAUCCCCCAGUGAGGGGCUGGGGGAGUGGCUCA